CGAAGUUCAUCAUGAGAUGGUCAAAAAAUGAGGGCUCCCAAGUGACAAGAGUAACUCUAGAUAUUGUAACAGCAAUGUGAGAACUCCAGAUGUUUCUAAUCCUCUCAGAUGAAGUCGCGCUGGUGGUGUUAAUGACCUCGGGCUCUAUCUAUCACAGCCUUCGGAGAUGCCCUAUAUACAACGGCUAUUUGGUGAGCAAGAAUCAGUAAAAAGACGGUCCUUCGCUUUCCAUCCUCCUUUUCACUCUCUCACCUCCACACUUUCCUCCAAGCGGCUGGGAAGGGGCUCGCAAUAACUCUGUAGCUAGACAAAAGAAAGAAAGAAGAAAAGAGGAGAAAAUGGUCCCAUCUGGCAUUGCCGACUGCCGCCGGCUCUCGUGGGCAUUCCAAUUCCUCGCAGCAAUGCUAAUAAGUGGGUGCUGGUGCUACCAGUACAAGGUGGGAGAUCUCGACUCCUGGGGGGUGCCCCCACCCUCCAACCCCCACGUCUGCGCCCUCUGGUCUCAGAAAUACCACUUCCGCCUCAGCGACUGACUCUUGUUUCUCUACCCGCCGAGCCAGGACUCGGUGAUCCAGGUGACGGAGCGGGCGUACAACAGCUGCAGCCUAACGGAUCCGAUAAAGAAGAUGAACGAUGGCAACUCGGUGUUUAAUCUUACGGCGCCCGGCAAUUACUAUUUUACUAGUGGCGUCCCGGAGCACUGCCAGAAGCUCCAGAAGCUGGCGAUCGCCGUCCCUGCCGCUAAUGGCACCUUCUUCCCUCCGGGGGCAGACGCGCCGCCGCCGGGGGCGUCGUCGGCGCUGCCUGCCGCUUCUCCUUCGUAUCCCAUCGUCUUCGGCCCCUCCCCGCCGCAGGGAUCGGGGGCGGGCUCGCUCGGGGCUCAGCGGCUGUUGGGUCGGUUGUCGGUUUGGUCCUUCUGCGUCUCCUGUGAGAGAAGAACAGGACCUUGAGAUUUUCCUGGAGAAAAUCUAGAUCUCGGUUUCUCUGUAUUUAUGUAAUCUUUAAUUGUGGGCACUCGGCACGGGUUUCUUUUCUUCUUUUAGAGAAGGUAGAGAUGGAACAAGAUUAUUAUUAUUUUUUAAAACUUUUAGCAGCAGCAAUAGACGUGCUGUUGUUACGGGGCAAAGAAUAGACGAUCCAAGACCAUCACCAUGGUUCUAUUUAAUACGUCCUUUGAAAAACAUAAUAACAACAACGUGCGGCCACAUAAAGUCUAAACUCUAUCUAAACAUUGAAAAUGAUAGAGCAUCCAAUUAGUUGUUUCACGCGGUGAUAGGUCCUUUCAUGGCCUUUGCACUGCCUUUUAGGUCCAGCAGCAAAGUAGAAUCUGCAUUUCUUUCUCGGGAGCUCACCGGAAUACAGGACAGACUUUGAGAUCCAUGCUAUCCCAUCCUCUAUC